rnacentral:rRNA from 1 species
GUGGUUGUUGAUGUCGUGGGGCCUGAUGUGUGGUUCAAGUGAUGGGGUGACACAGUGUAGUAGCCAUGCCGCUUAGUGGAUUGUUGGUGUAAGCGUGUGAGGUGGUGUGUAGGCAAAUCCGCACACCGUAAUACCUGAGGCGUGAUGCGUAGCCCGAGUGUGGGUGAAGUUGGUGAUCUAGUACUGUCGAGAAAAGCCUCUAGCGAUGUGGAUGUAUGGCCCGUACCCUAAACCGACACAGGUGGUCAGGUUGAAAAUACUAAGGCGUUCGGGUGAACUGUGGUUAAGGAACUCGGCAAAAUGCCCCCGUAACUUCGGGAGAAGGGGGACCACACGACUUUGACACUUCUUGCAGGUGUUGUGGGUUGUGGGGUCGCAGAGAAUAGAGGGAAGCGACUGUUUAUCAAAAACACAGGUCCAUGCGAAGACGUUAAGUUGAUGUAUAUGGACUGACGCCUGCCCGGUGCUGGAAGGUUAAGAGGACCGGUUAGUAGUCUUUGACUGCGAAGCUGAGAAUUUAAGCCCCAGUAAACGGCGGUGGUAACUAUAACCAUCCUAAGGUAGCGAAAUUCCUUGUCGGGUAAGUUCCGACCUGCACGAAUGGCGUAACGACUUCUCUGCUGUCUCAACCACAGGCCCGGUGAAAUUGCACUACGAGUAAAGAUGCUCGUUACGCGCGGCAGGACGAAAAGACCCCGGGACCUUCACUAUAGCUUGGUAUUGGUGUUCGGUUCGGUUUGUGUAGGAUAGGUGGGAGACUAUGAGACGUGUGCGCCAGCACGCGUGGAGUCGUUGUUGAAAUACCACUCUGAUCGGAUUGGAUACCUUAACCUUGGCCCAUGAUCUGGGUUGGGGACAGUGCCUGGUGGGUAGUUUAACUGGGGCGGUUGCCUCCCAAAAUGUAACGGAGGCGCCCAAAGGUUCCCUCAGCCUGGUUGGCAAUCAGGUAGCGAGUGUAAGUGCACAAGGGAGCUUGACUGUGAGACAGACAUGUCGAACAGGGACGAAAGUCGGGACUAGUGAUCCGGCACCUACUUGUGGAUGUGGUGUCGCUCAACGGAUAAAAGGUACCCCGGGGAUAACAGGCUGAUCUUCCCCAAGAGUCCAUAUCGACGGGAUGGUUUGGCACCUCGAUGUCGGCUCGUCGCAUCCUGGGGCUGGAGUAGGUCCCAAGGGUUGGGCUGUUCGCCCAUUAAAGCGGCACGCGAGCUGGGUUCAGAACGUCGUGAGACAGUUCGGUCUCUAUCCGCCGCGCGCGUUGAAACUUGAAGAAGGCUGUCCCUAGUACGAGAGGACCGGGACGGACGUACCUCUAGUGUGCCAGUUGUUCCGCCAGGAGCAUCGCUGGUUGGCUACGUACGGAAGGGAUAACCGCUGAAAGCAUCUAAGCGGGAAGCCUGUUUUAAGAUGAGGUUUCAUUUGAGGUCCCCCAAAGACGAUGGGGUUGAUAGGCCAGACCUGGACGCACCGCAAGGUGUGAAGGCUACUGGUACUAAUAGACCAAAACAAACACAC